CAGUGCCACCACCCUCCGCCUCCGCCAUUGUUUGGGCUCUGCUGCUAAGUCGAAACAUGUUUCAAAAGAUUAAAGGCGCUUAAUGGCCAAGCCUAUCGCUUGUGCCAACAAAUCUUUCUGUGAGACUCCACUUGCAAAAUAUCCCCUGUAGGCCUACUGCUGUACCCAUCAUCCUACAGUCACAAAGAUAUUGGAUGUGGAGUGAGUCAUUGUUAUUAACACUGCCUUAUUUGGAUCCAUCACAGUCAUCAGCGAAGGUGUUUCUGGAUUUGGAAAGCCUAAACUCAAUAUUCAGAAUUUUCUUCUGGGGUGACAACAAUAGCUUACACCUUGGGAAGCUGUUCAUCGUCCGAGCGAUCCCUCUUCCCAAAU